CUUUAGUUUGAAACCCCGAAACCAGGUGAGCUACCCCGAGACAGCCUAUAUAAAUUAGGGCUAACCCGUCUCUGUGGCAAAAGAGUGGGAAGAGCUCCGGGUAGAAGUGACAGACCUACCGAACCUGGUGAUAGCUGGUUGCCUGAGAAGUGGAUAGAAGUUCAGCCCCGUAUACCCCAAACCAAAGCCCAUCCUUUAAGGUAACUUGAGGGAAAUGUACGAGAGUUAGUUGGAGGGGGUACAGCCCCUCUAACAAAGGACACAACCUUAACAGGAGAAUAAAGAUCAAAAUAACUAAAACAAACUAUUUUAGUGGGCCUAAAAGCAGCCAUCUGAACAGAAAGCGUUAAAGCUCAGACAGAGUGAAGUUUAUUAUACCGAUAAAAAAUCUUAUUUCCCUAGAAUGUAUCAGGCUAUUCCAUGCCCACAUGAAAGAAAUUAUGCUAGAAUGAGUAACAAGAAGACCUGUUCUUCUCCCAGCACAAGUGUAAACCAGAUCGGACAAGCCGCUGGAAAAUAACGAACCCAACCCAAGAGAGUAUUGUGAAUAUUACAAAAACCAAGAAAAACCCACAACCAAUCAAUCGUUAACCCUACACUGGAGUGCUAUUUAUAAAGGAAAGACUAAAAGAAAGGGAAGGAACUCGGCAAACGCAAGCCUCGCCUGUUUACCAAAAACAUCGCCUCCUGCAACUAAAUUAAGUAUAGGAGGUCCAGCCUGCCCAGUGACUACGGGUUCAACGGCCGCGGUAUUUUGACCGUGCAAAGGUAGCGCAAUCACUUGUCUUUUAAAUAGAGACCUGUAUGAAUGGCUAAACGAGGGCUUAACUGUCUCCCCCUUCCAGUCAGUGAAAUUGAUCUAUCCGUGCAGAAGCGGGUAUAAUAAUACAAGACGAGAAGACCCUUUGGAGCUUAAGGUACAAAACUUAUUCACGUCAAACAACUUCAUAAAGAGCAAAAACCUAGUGGAACAUAAGAUUUUACCUUCGGUUGGGGCGACCGCGGGGGAAAAACCAGCCUCCGAGUGGAACGGGGUAAACCCCUAAAACCAAGAGAGACAUCUCUAAGCCACAGAACAUCUGACCAAUAAUGAUCCGACUUGCAAGUCGAUCAACGAACCAAGUUACCCUAGGGAUAACAGCGCAAUCCUCUCCCAGAGUCCAUAUCGACGAGGGGGUUUACGACCUCGAUGUUGGAUCAGGACAUCCUAAUGGUGCAGCCG
rnacentral:rRNA from 1 species